UAUUUAGUUUUUUUAAAUAAAAGAGAGAGUUUGCACAAAGAGUACAGUUAUAUAAACGAUAUAAUUAAUUACCAAUUAACUAUAUAAACGAAACAGUUUGUUUAAAAGAUUAUUUAAAAGCUAGGUAAACUUUAUUGGAACAAAGAAAAAAAGAAAUUAAUUUAAAAAAUUAGAAAAUGGAAAAUGCAAGUAUAUUGAACUUGUGUUUUGAUUACGUAUUCGAUUAAGCGAAAUUGAGGAGGAGAUAAUAUUUAACUAAUAGAUAAAGUAAAAUAUAUGUAUUUUACACAACUAUUCUUUAUCGAUAGCAAAAGAAGUUUUAUAUAUUAGUGUCAACCACGGGUCGAGUACAAUUCUGUGAUUUCACAGUAUUUACAUUUUUAACAACAAAAACAUACCAAAAUAUCUAAAGCAACCUGUUCUAUUUAGAAACCAAAAUCAUAUAACUGAAUCUAAGACUCAUUAUUCUACUGGAGAUUUAUAGAUUAUAGGUUGCUUGUAGAAUCACAGAAGUGUCUACUGUUAGAUUGUCUAUUAUCCCAAAACAAAACGAACGUGAGUUGAGGUUUUAUCCAGAGCUAAGGACAUCAGCAUCUUCAACGUGUUUAUCAGUCUUCAUUUUCUUCUUGGAACGAGUUUCGGUUUUUUGGUCUCGAGUUUGAAAGAGAGCCCUCUUUGCAUUUGGUGCAAGCACUUCGUCGGCGUUUGUAGAAUCUUGAUUAUCUGUCAUGCACAUCUUCUCUUUACUUUUCGUAGAUGUUUUGUUUGAACUAUCAUCAGUUGUUACAAGAGAAGAAUCCAAUUCUAUGAUUGUACUUGAAGAAUCAAUGUCAGUUGUUGUUGAAGAGUUGAAUAUGAAGAUAAUUUCAUAUCGGUAUUCAGGUGGAUUUUGGCUUCUUGGUGUUACUUUUAGGUAAAAAAGCUGUUCUUCUUCGUUGUUAGUUCUUAUGAGAUCUUUUAGUUGUGUAUCCACGUCCUGAAAUAUUAAAAUUAUACUCAUUUAAUAUGAUGAAGUAAAUGCAAAUAAUUAUUAAAAAUUUAGUAGUAUUUGGAGUUAACCUUUUCAAAAUGGUUCAUAAUUUGGACGGCAUUUGCUUCCAAUAAAGUUUCUGCGGUUUCUCCUAUUAUGGUUGCAUCCAAGCCUCCAGAGUUGUCUUCAAUAUGUACGAAAGCAGUUACCCUAUAUAGAGAAG
rnacentral:lncRNA from 1 species